rnacentral:rRNA from 1 species
AUUGAACGCUGGCGGCAGGCCUAACACAUGCAAGUCGAACGAGUGGCGGACGGGUGAGUAAUGUCUGGGAAACUGCCUGAUGGAGGGGGAUAACUACUGGAAAAGGUAGCUAAUAACGCAUACCAUCGGAUGUGCCCAGAUUGGAUUAGCUAGGAGGUGGGGUAAAGGCACACCUAGGCGACGAUCCCUAGCUGGUCUGAGAGGAUGACCAGCCACACUGGAACUGAGACACGCUCCAGACUCCGACGGGAGGCAUCAGGGGGGAAUAUGGGACAAUGGGCGCAAGCCGGAUGCAGCCAUCCCGCGUGUAUGAAGAGGGCCUUCGGGUUGUAAAGUACUUUCAGCGGGGCGGCGUUACCCGCAGAAGAAGCACCGGCUAACUCCGUGCCAGCAGCCGCGGUAAUUC